UGGGGAAUAUUGCACAAUGGGGGAAACCCUGAUGCAGCGACGCCGCGUGAAGGAAGAAGUAUCUCGGUAUGUAAACUUCUAUCAGCAGGGAAGAAAAUGACGGUACCUGACUAAGAAGCCCCGGCUAACUACGUGCCAGCAGCCGCGGUAAUACGUAGGGGGCAAGCGUUAUCCGGAUUUACUGGGUGUAAAGGGAGCGUAGACGGAUGGACAAGUCUGAUGUGAAAGGCUGGGGCUCAACCCCGGGACUGCAUUGGAAACUGCCCGUCUUGAGUGCCGGAGAGGUAAGCGGAAUUCCUAGUGUAGCGGUGAAAUGCGUAGAUAUUAGGAGGAACACCAGUGGCGAAGGCGGCUUACUGGACGGUAACUGACGUUGAGGCUCGAAAGCGUGGGGAGCAAACAGG
rnacentral:rRNA from 1 species